AACGAACGCUGGCGGCAUGCCUAACACAUGCAAGUCGAACGAUACCUUCGGGUCUAGUGGCGCACGGGUGCGUAACGCGUGGGAAUCUGCCCUUAGGUUCGGAAUAACUCCCCGAAAGGGGUGCUAAUACCGGCUAAUGUCUUCGGACCAAAGAUUUAUCGCCUUUGGAUGUGCCCGCGUUGGAUUAGCUAGUUGGCAGGGUAAAAGCCUACCAAGGCGACGAUCCAUAGCUGGUCUGAGAGGAUGAUCAGCCACCCUAGGACUGAGACAUGGCCCAGAAUCCUACGGGAGGCGGCAGUGGGGAAUAUUAGACUAUGGGCGAAAGGCUGAUGCAGCGAUGCCGCGUGAGUGAUGAAGGCCUUAGGGUUGUAAAGCUCUUUUACCCGGGAUGAUAAUGACAGUACCGGGAGAAUAGGCUCCGGCUAACUCCGUG
rnacentral:rRNA from 1 species